rnacentral:rRNA from 1 species
CAAAAACAUUGCUUUUUGAUCACCCAAUAAAAAGUAAUUCCUGCCCAGUGACAUAGUUCAACGGCCGCGGUAUCCUAACCGUGCAAAGGUAGCAUAAUCACUUGCCUAUUAAUUGUAGGCUAGAAUGAAAGGAAUAACGAAAUAGACCCUGUCUCUAUAAGCAAACUAAAAAUUAAUCUCUAACUGAAGAGUGUUAGAUAUAGUCGGAGGACAAGAAGACCCUAUAGAGCUUUAUUUUAACAAAGACCAUUAAUCUUUACUAGAAUUCGGUUGGGGCGACCAAGGAAACAUAAAUCAUCCUGAGUAUAAAGACAUAUAAGUCCAAUAAAGACCCUUAUUAAAGAUCAUAAAAACAAGCUACCUUAGGGAUAACAGGCUAAUCCUGCUAAAGAGUCCUUAUCAACAGCAGGGGUUGGCACCUCGAUGUUGGCUUAGGGAAACUAUAUGACGCAAAAGUCAUAAAAAGAUGGUUUGUUCAACCAAUAAAACCCUACGUGAUCU